UUAUGAUUGUUUGUGGUUCAUAUAAUAUCAUAACUGUGUCUGUGUCUAGUGAUAAAAUAAUUGUGCACGUCCCCUUUAAGGAGUUUGUUAGUAAUACACUGUCUAAAAACGUGGCUUUGCCCAGCAGGUUAGUUCAUUUCUUUGUGAUUGGCCCUUGUCCUUCUUAUUCCCGCCUCUGCAGGUAUACUGAGAAUUCUGAUUGGAUGAAGGGGUGGAGUUUAGAACUGCAGAUCGGUGUGAGAGUUUAGUUAACGAUGUGACUGGGAGGAAUUCAUGGACCAGUUGGGACUUACCUCGGACGUGCUUUGGAGUAUCGUUGCUAUGGCGAUAAAGGAUCGUGCUGCUGUUCGGUAGAGGAGGGACUACAGAAAGAUCUACAGCUUCAGAGGAGGGAAUUUCGUGUUCCAGCCGCCUGGGAAGCCGUUCAGCCGACCAGAGUCCGCUCUUCCAGAACCAGAACCCAUGCAGGUGGAUCCUACUGGUCUCUCACUGUCAGAGCGUCAUGGAAGACUUACUCUAGGAUUGUGUCUAUACUGUGGAGCAUCGGGGCAUACCAUCAUCUCAUGCCCCAUUUGCCCCCCACCACCACACCUGUCUCAGCCCUCCUCCAUUCAGGAUUAACUCAUUAAACCACAUAAGUCCGUCCCACACCACUGUAUUAUUAGAUAAAGUGCUGUGAUCUUAUAUGAUAAAACAUUUAAUAAGGUGUUAAUAUGAUCAAUUCUGCUCAUAAAACAUUUCUCAGUAAUGAAUGAAAUGAACAAAAGUUACCUUUUUUUGUGUUUACAAUGUUAACAAACUUAUUCAUGCUGUACCUGUUCCAUCCUCCACAUUUUGCUCACCUAGUUUCUCUGGCACAUCCUUCUCUACCUUUUCACACAAAUGGACACUGAGCUGCUCACUAGGGAGGAAUCACGUAUGAAAGUUACCACUUGCUUACUUGAUCCCCUCCUACAAGCUUGUUUAAAUCCUGUUUGUAUUCAUUGUGCCCUGCUGUUCUCAGUAUUGUAAAUGAUUCCCUGCAUACUGGUGUUGUGCCAGCAGCAUUGACUGGUGACUGGUUUUGUCUGUACGGGUGUUCCUCAGGGUUCCAUCUUAGGCCCCUUACUUUUUAGCAUGUACAUAUUUCCACUUGGAUUGCUUUUAAGAUCACUUGGGCUUAAUUGUCACUUUUAUGUGGACGACACUCAGAUUUAUAUUCACUUUAAGCCUAAUCAAAAUUUGGACCUUUCUUUUUUAACACUGUAUCGCUGAGAUAAAAACGUGGAUGUCUCAAAAUUGAUUGUGCCUUGCACUGGCUUCAGGUCAGGUUCAGAGUAGAUUUUAAAGUCCUCAUGCUUACAUACAAGGCACUGCAUGGUCUUGCCCCCCGGUAUCUGUGUGCACUUUUAACUUUAUACACACCCGAGCAUUACUUCUGCUCCUCACAAGCAGGACUGUUGGUAGUCCCACAGACACGGCUGCGUUCUGUAGGGGAUUGGGCUUUUUCCUUGUACGCGCCUAGACUUUGGAACGCACUCCGUCCUCACAUCCGUUAGGCUGAAGACUAACCGUUAGGCUGAAGACUCUCCCGUCCGUUCUACUCUCCAAUGUUUGCUCCCUGGACAAUAAACUAGACUCGAACGCGCUACACUGUGAGAGUUUAGAAACUGCUGCUUCUUUCUUUUCACAGAGACGUGUUUGACCUAUUUAUUAGUGUUUUUUAGCUGGGGUUGUACACGGGGUUGUAUUCAGGAUUGUACUCGGGGUUGUAAUGUGUGUUUUAUAAUCAGUGUCUGUUGUGAGAAAAAGUGAACAUUUAAAAAAAAAAACAUUUUUUAAAAAUUGCAUCCACAACAUGAACAUUUUAGGAACAUUACAGAACAUAACGGAACAUUACUUCACAUGAACUUCAAAAAAACAUCACGGAACUUAAACCAACAAAUAACAAAUAAACCAACAAAAAAACCACCAACAACCACCCGAUUGCCGCCAACAACCACCCAAGCUGAUAAAUAUAAAAUUGAUAGAAAAUAUAUAAAUUACAUAGAAAUUUCUAACUUCUGCACAAAUAAAGACGGACUUACUUCAUUUCCGUCAGGCGGCUCUGGAGUCUCCACUGCCGGCAGUACAUCUUCCACCGCCUCCUUCACCGCCCCGGGAAGGAACUCAUGGAGUGCUUUUUUAAUGGUUUUCCUGCAGUUGCAGGUGGGUGGAAGACCGUCUGAAAACGACCUUCCUCUACUGUAAUGCACCUUAACUUUUAUUGGUUUGGCCUUUGAUCGCCCUCCUGAUGCCAUAUUGUGAUAAUGAGUAACACCCACCUAGCGGCUGCUCUAUUUAUAAUCUAACAUUAUAAUUAUGCACAAAUCAAACGUGUGUUAUUGGUCAUAAUCCCUCUUCCUCCCGCUCCUCCUACACACUUAUUGGCUAAGAUCCUUGUGACCAAUCCGAAACACGCCGUAAAAUUACAGCAUCAGUCCGUCAUUCUGUUCAACGCCACAUAAUUAUUAUUAAAUAAUAAUGAAGACAUGAGACA